UUCAAUUACUGUUUGUGUUUGUAAUAUGUAAUAUUUUUGUGCUUAUCUGUUGUUAUAUAUAUUCAUUUUGUAGGAUCAGUACAUAUUUGUUAUUGGAGAUACAGUGCAAGCUGUGUGGAAUCAAAGACCCGUAUUGAUGAGGCCAGUGUCAGUGAAGAUGGUGUGGUCACUGGAAUCCUGGUGUUUGUGGGAAAUGUGAAGGAGUUUCUCCCAGGAUUCUACAACAGUGUUGUCCUGAUGACUGAGGUAUUUAUAUUUUUUACUUUCUUGCCUCUUUGGAACAUGUUCAUUUAUGCAUACUGUGUAGAGGUGGUUCGCAGCUUCAUGGACAUUUAAGGUUUUCUGCCGAUGAAGAGCUUCUGGGACAUUGACAUAAACAGCACUUUUUCAUACAACUUAAAAAAAGGUGGUGACAGACAAUUUUGGUUUUCUUGUUUUUGUGCCUUUGGAAUUCAUUGUUU